rnacentral:rRNA from 1 species
CAGGAGAAGAAGCAGAAGCUGGAGCAGCAGCCCGUGCCGAGCCUCCCCGAGGGCGCCCUCGUCGAGAUCCUUUCGCGAGUGCCCUACAGGUCCCUCUGCCGCUUCAAGUGCGUGUCCAAGCCGUGGCUCGUCCUCUGCUCCGCCCGGGACAUCCUCAAGAGGUCGCCACAGACCCUCUCCGGCUUCUUCUACAAGAACGCCGGUGUCCUCAAAUUCCGCAAUUUGUCCGGGAGAGGUCUGCCUCUGGUCGACCCUUCUCUCCCUUUCUUGCGGCAGAGGUACGAAAACGUUCAUGUCGAACAAUUGUGCGAAGGUCUUCUCCUUUGCAGCUGCUGGAAUUCGUGUUCUGCGUGUGAAAAUGAUUAUGUUGUGUGCAAUCCCGCGACUCAAGAGUGGACUGUGCUGCCUCCUGUAGUAUUUCCGGCUCAAGAGUGCAGCCACCCAUGGAAGAAAGGCAUACCAAUGACUUACUUAGGUUUCGAAGCCGCUGUCCCAACCCGCUUUAUGGUGUUUGCAACCCCUUACAAUGCUGACCACCUUCCUGGACAAAUGGCGAUCUACUCAUCAAAAACUGGACAGUGGACUUACGUGCAGACUAAGUGGUCCUCCGUAACUCAUGUGGAUUGUAGUAGACGCACACAUGUCUUCUUGAAUGGCACCAUGCAUUUGGCCACCCUUUGUAAUUCAAUAAUACCCACAGUUGACGUGGAGGGGAAAGUUUGGAAGGAGAUUCAAAUGCCAGUUGACUGGACGAGCUGUAAUAUUGUUUUGACUGGGCAAUCUCAAGGGCGUUUGUAUGCGUGGCAGGUGGAUUAUUGUGAUGAUAGUGAACUCGAUAUUUGGGUUCUUGAGGACUAUGGUACUGGAAAGUGGACCCUAAAGCAUACUGUUAAUGUUUCAGAGCUGUUCGGAAGGCAUUGUCGCAAAGAUGGUGAUUUUUAUCAGAUGUUUGCAAUUCAUCCAGAUUGUAAUGUCAUUUUCCUUACCAACCAGAAGAAGAAGACAGUGUCAUACGAUAUGGAUAAUCAGAAAGUACAUGUUAUCUGCGAUGAGUUCAUGAUUGGGCUACCUUAUACUCCCUGUUUUGCGGAACUGCCAUCAGCUGGUCACUGA